AGAGAGAGAGAGAGAGAGAGAGAGAGAGAGAGAGAGAGAGAGAGAGAGAGAGAGAGAGACACACACACACACACACACACACACACACACAGCGCGUGUGUGUGGAUGUCUGUAACGGACCCCUCCCCGGUUCCUACGAACCUGUAUUGGUAGGCCUAUAACGAGAAUUCUUGUCGGGGGAGGGGGGGGGGGUUAUAUGAUUGGGUGUGGAUUUACCAAAUAGGAUAUUAAGUGUGUGCGUGUGUGCAUGUGUGUGAUACCUCUUCAACGACACUUAUAUUUGUGUAACGGGGACUAAAUAUUUGGCCGUUUGUAUAUAAAUAACAUAUUUGAUCUAUUACUAUUAAUAUUUAUUUUAGGAUUCAAUUUAUUUUAUUAUAGGAUAUUCUCAAUCUGCAUUGAGAAUAUCGUAUUGGUGCAUUAGACAAAGCCUUUUAUGGUUGUUUCUCGCCAUACUGGCUAGGGACGAGCCAUUGGUUGAUUCUAUCCAAUGGUUAUGUGUAUUUGGUGUCACGUGGUCGUGAGUCAGGUCCGUGCAGCGCUGAGUGUGGACAGUGACACAACACGUUACAUACUUACGACUUGCAGUUGCCUUUUCCUUUUCCUGAGCCUUUCGUUAUCUUCAGACUUCCUUUUGGCACUUACAGGAUGAAGCCCACGUACAUGUAAUAGUGUUAUCAUCCUAUACGGUUCAUCGCCCGACAGCGAAGGUUAGGAAACUUGAGCUUUUAUUGGCUGAUGCAAUAGCCAAUGAAUGCAAUCACGUGGUCGCGUAUGGCGCAGCUCAAUCCAAUCAUUGUCGAGCCGUUACUUUGGCUGCAAGAAGCGUCGGUCUCACACCACAUUUAAUUUUAAGGAGUGACGCAAAGGUUAGUUUUUAAAGUUAAAAGUUUGUUUUGUUUAACAACACCAUUAGAGCACAUUGAUUAUAAUUAUUAAUUAUUGGCUAUUGAAUGUCAAAC